rnacentral:tRNA from 1 species
AAAAUGAGAGCAUGUUAAAAUGCAUUAAGCUUAGAACUUAAAGAAAACAACAUUUUG